rnacentral:rRNA from 1 species
AGUGAACGCUGGCGGUAGGCCUAACACAUGCCAGUCGAACGGCAGCACAGUAAGAGCUUGCUCUUACGGGUGGCGAGUGGCGGACGGGUGAGGAAUACAUCGGAAUCUACUUUUUCGUGGGGGAUAACGUAGGGAAACUUACGCUAAUACCGCAUACGACCUACGGGUGAAAGCAGGGGAUCUUCGGACCUUGCGCGAUUGAAUGAGCCGAUGUCGGAUUAGCUAGUUGGCGGGGUAAAGGCCCACCAAGGCGACGAUCCGUAGCUGGUCUGAGAGGAUGAUCAGCCACACUGGAACUGAGACACGGUCCAGACUCCUACGGGAGGCAUCAGUGGGGAAUAUUGGACAAUGGGCGCAAGCCUGAUCCAGCCAUACCGCGUGGGUGAAGAAGGCCUUCGGGUUGUAAAGCCCUUUUGUUGGGAAAGAAAAGCAGCAGGUUAAUACCCCGCUGUUCUGACGGUACCCAAAGAAUAAGCACCGGCUAACUUCGUG